rnacentral:rRNA from 1 species
CUUGAUUUCAGCGGCGGACGGGUGAGUAAUGCCUAGGAAUCUGCCUGGUAGUGGGGGACAACGUUUCGAAAGGAACGCUAAUACCGCAUACGUCCUACGGGAGAAAGCAGGGGACCUUCGGGCCUUGCGCUAUCAGAUGAGCCUAGGUCGGAUUAGCUAGUUGGUGAGGUAAUGGCUCACCAAGGCGACGAUCCGUAACUGGUCUGAGAGGAUGAUCAGUCACACUGGAACUGAGACACGGUCCAGACUCCUACGGGAGGCAGCAGUGGGGAAUAUUGGACAAUGGGCGAAAGCCUGAUCCAGCCAUGCCGCGUGUGUGAAGAAGGUCUUCGGAUUGUAAAGCACUUUAAGUUGGGAGGAAGGGCAGUAAGUUAAUACCUUGCUGUUUUGACGUUACCGACAGAAUAAGCACCGGCUAACUCUGUGCCAGCAGCCGCGGUAAUACAGAGGGUGCAAGCGUUAAUCGGAAUUACUGGGCGUAAAGCGCGCGUAGGUGGUUCGUUAAGUUGGAUGUGAAAGCCCCGGGCUCAACCUGGGAACUGCAUCCAAAACUGGCGAGCUAGAGUACGGUAGAGGGUGGGUGGAAUUUCCUGUGUAGCGGUGAAAUGCGUAGAUAUAGGAAGGAACACCAGUGGCGAAGGCGACCACCUGGACUGAUACUGACACUGAGGUGCGAAAGCGUGGGGAGCAAACAGGAUUAGAUACCCCUGGUAGUCCACGCCGUAAACGAUGUCAACUAGCCGUUGGAAU